GGUCCUACCGGGGACAUCGGGGUGUCCCCAAAGACUCGAUGACCCACUGAGGACAUCGGGGUGUCCCCAAGGGCUUGGGACCCAUUGGGGACAUUGGAAUGUCCCCUAAGAUUUGGGUCCCAUGAGGAACAUUGGGGUGUCCCCAAAGGCUUGAUGACCCAUCAAGGACAUUGGGGUGGCCCCAAAGUCUUGGGUCCUACUGGGGACAUUGGGGUGUCCCCAGAGACUUGGGACCCAUCGAGGACACCGAGUUGUCCCCAAAGGCUUGGGAUCCAUCGAGGACAUUGGGAUGUCCCCAAAGACUUGGGUCCUACUGGGGACAGCAGGGUGUCCCCAAAGACUCGAUGACCCAUCGAGGACAUCGGGGUGUCCCCAAAGUCUUGGGUCCUACUGGGGACAGCAGGGUGUCCCCAAAGACUCGAUGACCCAUCAAGGACAUCGGGGUGUCCCCAAGGGCUUGGGGACAUUGGGGUGUCCCCAGAGGUUUGGGUCCCGAUGGGGACAUUGGGGUGUCCCCAGACCCUGGUGUCGUCGUUCCCCCUCCCCCCCCCCAUGAGUGUCAGCCAGG